rnacentral:tRNA from 1 species
GCUCGGCUGGCUCAGUCAGUAGAGCGUGCGACUCGUGAUCACGAGGUUGUGGGUUCGAGCCCCAUGAUGGGUG